rnacentral:rRNA from 1 species
UACGUAGGCAGCGAGCGUUGUUCGGAGCUACUGGGCGUAAAGGGUGUGUAGGCGGUUGUUUAAGUUUGGUGUGAAAUCUCCCGGCUCAACUGGGAGGGUGCGCCGAAUACUGAAUGACUAGAGUGCGGGAGAGGAGAGUGGAAUUCCUGGUGUAGCGGUGAAAUGCGUAGAUAUCAGGAGGAACACCGGUGGUGUAGACGGCUCUCUGGACCGUAACUGACGCUGAGGCACGAAAGCGUGGGUAGCAAACAGG